rnacentral:rRNA from 1 species
AGCGAACGCUGGCGGCAGGCCUAACACAUGCAAGUCGAACGAACUCUUCGGAGUUAGUGGCGGACGGGUGAGUAACACGUGGGAACGUGCCUUUUGGUUCGGAAUAACUCAGGGAAACUUGUGCUAAUACCGAAUGUGCCCUUCGGGGGAAAGAUUUAUCGCCAUUAGAGCGGCCCGCGUCUGAUUAGCUAGUUGGUGAGGUAACGGCUCACCAAGGCGACGAUCAGUAGCUGGUCUGAGAGGAUGACCAGCCACACUGGGACUGAGACACGGCCCAGGCUCCUACGGGAGGCAGCAGUGGGGAAUCUUGCGCAAUGGGCGAAAGCCUGACGCAGCCAUGCCGCGUGAAUGAUGAAGGUCUUAGGAUUGUAAAAUUCUUUCACCGGGGACGAUAAUGACGGUACCCGGAGAAGAAGCCCCGGCUAACUUCGU